AACGAACGCUGGCGGCAUGCCUAACACAUGCAAGUCGAACGAGACCUUCGGGUCUUGUGGCGCACGUGUGCGUAACGAGUGGGAACCUGCCCUUAGGUUCGGAAUAACUCCCCGAAAGGGGUGCUAAUACCGGAUAAUGUCUUCGGACCAAAGAUUUAUCGCCUUUGGAUGGGCCCGCGUUGGAUUAGCUAGUUGGUAGGGUAAAAGCCUACCAAGGCGACGAUCCAUAGCUGGUCUGAGAGGAUGAUCAGCCACACUGGGACUGAGACACGGCCCAGACUCGUACGGAAGGCAGCAGUGGGGAAUAUUGGACAAUGGGCGAAAGCCUGAUCCAGCAAUGCCGCGUGAGUGAUGAAGGCCUUAGGGUUGUAAAGCUCUUUUACCCGGGAUGAUAAUGACAGUACCGGGAGAAUAAGCACCGGCUAACUCCGUG
rnacentral:rRNA from 1 species